GGCUUCCUGGUGCUUACCACAGGCUGUGUUCUUACACCAAUCACACAGAAAGAGGAGGUAGAGUAGGCCUUCCUUGUAUAAACCUCACCUCAGGCCUUGUGCCUGGUCUGCAUUGUGAAUGGGGGCACAUGG
ensembl:snoRNA